rnacentral:misc_RNA from 1 species
UGUGGGAGCGGGCUUGCUCGCGAAUGCGGAGGAUCAGUUAGCAUCAAUGUCGACUGAUAGAUCGCUUUCGCGAGCAAGCCCGCUCCCACA